AAACUCGAGCACAAAGAAGUCAGCUGCAGGGAUGAAAGGAAAGGACUGCGUGUAGUCCACACGGGCAAGCAGGACAGGCAGAGCACAGGCGUACCGGGUGGAUCAAAGAGCUGCUGAGCAAGCACGGUGGGAGGAGGCCUCCAAGGAAACCAUCAAGAAAACCACCAAGCCUUGUCCUCGCUGCAAUGUGCCCAUUGAAAAGAAUGGAGGAUGUAUGCACAUGAAGUGUCCUCAGCCCCAGUGCAAGCUGGAGUGGUGUUGGAACUGCGGCUGUGAGUGGAACCGAGCCUGCAUGGGUGAUCACUGGUUUGACGUGUAGAGAGGGAUGUCACUUGGCAAUGGCCGCACGACCUCAUGGGAAACACCUCAGACUCCUACCUUUGUUAGCCAUUUCUUCUUCUCUGUGCAUAUAAGCGCGCGCACGCACACACACACACACACACACACACACACACACACACACACACACACACACACUCACACACACACACACUGCAGAUUACAGAAGCAGUCUCUAGGUCCUUUCCAGGGUACCCACAGAAAACUGCAGCACCUGCUGGCCCCAACGGGAGGAGGCACUUUGAGCCUCUGACUCAUGCAUAUGUCAGAGCUGGGAUGAGAGUUGGCACCCUUGUUUUGAAUUCUCAUCCUAGCGAGAAUUUGGGUUCUCAUGGCCGGGAGUUUUCCAGACUUAACCUCCUGCCUUCUGCUUCACUAAAUCCAUGUAGAAGCCACGGGUGAG
rnacentral:lncRNA from 1 species